rnacentral:rRNA from 1 species
AUUGAACGCUGGCGGCAGGCUUAACACAUGCAAGUCGAGCGGCAGCGGAAAGUAGCUUGCUACUUUGCCGGCGAGCGGCGGACGGGUGAGUAAUGUCUGGGAAACUGCCUGAUGGAGGGGGAUAACUACUGGAAACGGUAGCUAAUACCGCAUGACCUCGAAAGAGCAAAGUGGGGGAUCUUCGGACCUCACGCCAUCGGAUGUGCCCAGAUGGGAUUAGCUAGUAGGUGAGGUAAUGGCUCACCUAGGCGACGAUCCCUAGCUGGUCUGAGAGGAUGACCAGCCACACUGGAACUGAGACACGGUCCAGACUCCUACGGGAGGCAGCAGUGGGGAAUAUUGCACAAUGGGCGCAAGCCUGAUGCAGCCAUGCCGCGUGUGUGAAGAAGGCCUUAGGGUUGUAAAGCACUUUCAGCGAGGAGGAAGGCACCAUACUUAAUACGUGUGGUGAUUGACGUUACUCGCAGAAGAAGCACCGGCUAACUCCGUGCCAGCAGCCGCGGUAAUACGGAGGGUGCAAGCGUUAAUCGGAAUUACUGGGCGUAAAGCGCACGCAGGCGGUUUGUUAAGUCAGAUGUGAAAUCCCCGCGCUUAACGUGGGAACUGCAUUUGAAACUGGCAAGCUAGAGUCUUGUAGAGGGGGGUAGAAUUCCAGGUGUAGCGGUGAAAUGCGUAGAGAUCUGGAGGAAUACCGGUGGCGAAGGCGGCCCCCUGGACAAAGACUGACGCUCAGGUGCGAAAGCGUGGGGAGCAAACAGG